AUGCUUUUUAUUUAAAUCAUCAUGAGUUCUUUAUUUGCUCUCUUUCAUAUACUUUUAUUUAUACUUUCCUAUUAGAUUAAUAUUAGGAACAACUUUUACUUUUUGGAGACGCGCUGUGAUCUAUGGGUACGGGAUGUGCCGAGGAAAGAAGAGUUGUUUACCUAGUACUUUUUGAAGAUGCGUCAUGAUCUAUGGGUACAGAACGUGUCGAGGAAAGAUAGGUAUUUUUUCUAAGAUUAAUCGUAUAUAUUUAAUUAAAAGAAAAAGAGAUACAACUCUGCUAGUGCAAAAUUAAUUCAGAACUCCCGAGCUCUUUAUUUUCUAAUUACAUCAAUUUUAAGAUAAUUUAUUUUCUAAAUCAAAACAACACUUCUUUCUUUUAUUUUGUAAUCUCAACUUAGCCCA
rnacentral:lncRNA from 1 species